rnacentral:lncRNA from 1 species
GUAAGGAAUACUGCCCAUACUCACACAUGUCUAAUGUACACUUUUUUCUUGUUAAACACGUUUUUAUUCAUUAAUCUCAGUCCAUUGUGUGAUUACUAAUUUGAUAGGAUUAGAUGCCACACUAGGGACAGAACAAACAUGCAAACCUGAUAAAAUUCCUUUCUGGCCCUCCCUUCUUCACUCAUUCUUGUCUUCCUUCCUUCCCUUGGCAAAAUGCUUUUUCCCCCCUACCUCUGAGCAAGUGUUUUGCCUGUUACCAGUUUUUACUCUCAGGUCAACUGAUCUUGACCUGCCAUUCUCUCCUCUGUGUCAGGAAACUAAAGGAGGUACCCCAUGCAGGUGACAUAACCUUUGAACAAAAAAUAGCUAUGUUGCAGGGCACACAGUGACGAGGGCUCUUUCUCUGAAGGCAAAGAAUAUACUCCUCAGGAAGCUGCAGGAGGUUUCCAUGAGGAUCUUGUGAGAUGUUGGUGAUAGAGAACCAGCACAUGCUAUGGUUGGGAAGUGGAGUCCUCAAGACAGACAGCCACAUUUUAACUCAAUUCCUUUGUUACUGUUUAUGGGCCUUGGGCAAAUAACUCCACCUCUUAGUGCCUCACCUUUAAAAUCAAAAUAACAGCUAUGCCUACUUCCUUGGAUAGAUGAGAGGAUGACAUGCGUUAGUACAUAAAAAGUGUUUGGAUCAAGGCUGGGCACAUAAUAAUUGCUCAGUGUAUGCUUAUUGUGGUAGCUGAAUGAUACUAUAUUAAUAAUAAUAUUAAUUUCAUGGAUAGAAAUUAGUAAAAACUGGAGGUGGAGUGAUUGCCUAGCUUUUUUAUAAGGCCCUGGGUUUUAUCCCCAGCAUCAUAAAUUUUUUUUAAUUAUACAAUGUUUCUAGGACCCAGAAAAUACUAGUCCUUCUCUACUUAUCUUCAUCUAACACUAACUAACAGUUGGUAUUUCUUGAGUGUCCAACAUGCUGGGGAAUGUUCUGAGGGUUUUGCAUUUGUUAUUUCUCAUUCUCACAACAGCAUGGCAGUUAUCCCCUAUAUAAUUUGGAUCAAUUAUCUCCUAUAUAAUAUGGUCCCUAAAUGCCCAUAUGUUUAAGACGUGGCCCUUAACCUGUGGUACUAUUAGGAGGCAGAGGAACUUUUAGGAAGUGGGAUCUAGUAGGAGGAAGUUAGGUCACUGGAAGUGUGACCUGACUUGAAGCCCUUGAAGGGAAUACUGGGACCCUGGCCUCCUCCUCUUUCUUUCUUUUUCUUCCCAGCUAUAGGAUGAAUGGGCUUCCUCUCCUUCAUGUUCACCACAGGCCCAAAAACAACAGGACUAAUCAUGGACUGAAACUUCCAAAACUGUGAACCAUAAUAAACCACCUUAGGUGUUUGCUAGAGUAACUGAAAGCUGACUAAAACAUCCCCAUUUUAUAGACAUAAGAAAAAACUGAGGCUCCAAGAAGUCAGGUAACCCAAGUUCAUUCUCAGGUACAUCUGACCUUCAAUCCAUGCUUGGACCAGCCACUUCUCUGGUAUGU